rnacentral:pre_miRNA from 1 species
UAUCUACUCCAUCCGUCCAAAAAUACUUGUCAUCAAAAUGGAUAAAAAUAGAUGUAUCUAAAACUAAAAUACAUCUAGAUACAUUUUCUUUUAUCCAUUUUGAUGACAAGUAUUUCCGGACGGAGGGAGUAUUUG